UACGUAGGGUGCAAGCGUUGUCCGGAAUUAUUGGGCGUAAAGAGCUCGUAGGCGGUCUGUCGCGUCUGCUGUGAAAACUCAGGGCUUAACCCUGAGCUUGCAGUGGGUACGGGCAGACUAGAGUGCGGUAGGGGAGACUGGAAUUCCUGGUGUAGCGGUGAAAUGCGCAGAUAUCAGGGAGGGAACACCGGUGGGCGGAAGGCGGGUCUCUGGGCCGUAACUGACGCUGGAGGA
rnacentral:rRNA from 1 species